UAAAAAGAAAGGUUACCUCCUUGUUCAUGUUCAGGUUUGGAUACAACUGUAAGUACAAUUUUAGUUUACCCAAAAAUAUUUUUUUAUCAAUUGUUGGUAUUAUUUGUGUAACAUGAAUAAGAGUUUCGUACUGACUGUAGACUUUGCACUCAAAUUUAGGCUUACUUCCUCCUUGAGAAAUUCACUUCAGCUUAAGCUGUAUGUUCUGUUUGGUACUAAUCAGCAAAUGUUAGCAUGCUAAACUAUUAAAGUGAACAAGGUAAACAUUAAACCUGCUAAACAUCAGCACGUUAGUAUUUUAAAGCUGUUAAGAUUGUGAAACCGAGUAAGUCAGCAUUGUGAGACUGUCAGGUCAGAGCACAGGCUCGCAGAGCUUCUAGCAGGGAUGCAUACAUAGAAUUUGAGGAAUGUUUUGGCAUUAAAAGCCAAAAAACUACAUUCCUCAUCUCAGCCUAAUCAACCAGCCAAUCAAAGGCCAAGUAGGGCCUGUCGUGGUGGAAUGUAGUUUUUGCAGGAGAGCAGAGGAGUGUAGAGAGAAAAGCAGUAAAGUCAAUCAGCUGAGUUACAGUGUUGCUAAAGAAUAAUUAAACCCAACAUAAAAAAGUGACAGUACGCUGGAGCCUCAGGCCUCCUCGCUGUGUUUUGGCAGACCUCAUUUCAUAGAAGUUGAGGGCUGGAGGAUGGUGGAACAAGGACAGGAAAAUGUAGAACUAAGUAAAAAGAUAGAGAGAGUGGAUAAAUCAAGGGUGCAGAUAAGGGCAAGUCCCCCUCUACUAAAAAGAGCUUUUUUUCUUGUUCCUACAGUUGGAUGUUUGAUCUUCACUGUGCAGAAUGAGGUGAUGAGUUGGAGAAUCCUGAUCAUAAUCUUACAUUCCUGUGCCUCUGUGGCAUCUUUUAUGAAAGUGACCACCAAGCUAAACAACGGUCUCAUGGAAAUAAUGGUGGACAUUGGCAACAUAACCGACAAGUCCGAACCCAAAUGUGAUUGCAUUUUCCAUUCCGAUACUAACAAGGUUCUUCUGAGCACCCGUUUAAGUGACAGUGAAGAUCAGCAGUUUAAGGGGCGAGUUACUUAUAACAUAAGUGAAGAUGUAAUGAAGAUUAUGCUGUCAAAAUUCAGUAUUGAUGAUGUGGGAAACUACACAUGCAAAUAUUUUGAUAAAAGAGGUGAAAUCUUAGACCGUGGUAAGUUGUCUUGACUUUUCUGAUUAGCUUCAUUUCAUUAAAUUCUUUAAAUCAAGGGAAACACGGAAAUGUUAACACACAGAUUUCCUCCAUAGGAUGUUUUACCUUGAAGUGGCCCCUCCCCACACCAACAUCUGGACCUGCAGCUGCUGAAGGUGCAACACAGCAACCAGGGGGUCCAAAUGGAUUUGUAACAUCUGUUACAAUAGUAGCAGUUGUAAUAGCGUUAGGUGUAGUAGGAGUAGUAGGAGUAGUAGGAGUACUAGUAGCAUUUGUAGUAUUAGUAGACAAACUGGGGAGAAAUUGACAUGUGGAAGGUAUGUUAGCUGUCCAUUGUUUAAUGCAACUGUUUUAUGUGUGUUUGGAUUUGUAUGUGACAAUUCUUAAUUCGGUCAAUAAAGCAGGUCCAGGACCAGUAUAGUCAGUGGCUGAAGAAAGUCGAGAAUCUAAUCAGACACACUCAUGCCAUCCUAGAUGUCAGUACGCCCUCUUAACGGGCAUUUUCCUUACCUCAUAUUUAGCCAAACUUGAGUUGACUCAGAUAUUGACAGUAGUUUUACAAAUAAAGUGUCUGCAGUUUUGGUAUAUUUCUCUACACCUAUAAUAAUUAUAAUUUUAUAAGGAGGUCUAGACCUGCUCUACAUGAAAAUUUCUGCACAGCUGCCUUAAAGGACCAGUGUGUAAGAUUUAGUGGCAUCUAGCGGUGUAAUUGCAGAUUGCAACUCACUCGCUUCACCCUCCCUUUAAAAAGGGUGAGGGAGAAACUACGGUGGCCGUGAGAAACCUCAAUAUAAAGCCAGCAUUUGUGUCUGUUUUCCAUGACGUCUGUAGUUAAAAAAUGUUGCAUUCUAAGGUAAUAAUAACACAACAAUUCCUGUAUUCAGGUGAUUAUACUCUAAUGAAAACAUACCUAUGAAUAAUAUAUCGCAUUUGUGCCAUUAGAUCCUCCUAAAUGUUACACACUGGACUUUUUAGCAAUGUUUGCAUUUUUCAAUGAAGUUUUAAUGGGAAGCUUGUGAUGCUCCCCAAUGUAACUUUGUAUGUCAGUGUACGUUCUAAUGUGAAAACAGAAUGUUUAUUUUUUUAUAUUAAUAGUCAAUAAUGUGUGUGUAACAUUUUUAAAUGUUAUUGUGGCUUUGUUGACCAGUAUUCAGUUUGUUAAUACUGUUAAUACCUCAGAUAUUAUUGCCUGAUGGAAUAUUUCCUGCAGUUAAAGAACAAAUUAUUACGGUUAACAGAUUGUUUGUUCAGACAUGCAAUCUAGAAGGAAUGUAAAGUGAACUCCCACUUUUGCAAUAAAAAAAAAAUGUGUAUAUUUUUAUAUCUUGAAUAAUUGUCACUUGUCAUUAAUGUUGUUUGAAUUGAUGUACUAAUUGAUUUUUAAAGCCUUCUAUUGUUGU